UCUAGCUACAAAUAUCACGAGAAACAAAAUGAAAACUAAUUACGCCCUUUGGUUUAUGGUGGUGCUUCUAGUAUUGGGUUUGGGCUCCGAAAAGGCAGAGGGAAGUCCAUGCGUAUCGGCGAGUUCAACAUAUGGGGGUCCAUGUGUGAACCACACUGCUCAAUGCCAGCAAGCUUGCCUCAAUGAGGGUUACACCUCCAGUUUCUGCGGCGGCUCCGACGGAAACCGUUGUUUCUGCACUAAACCCUCCUGCCGAUAGUUAUACAGCGUAGUGGGAAGCCAUGGGUAGAACUUGUUUAUCACCAAGUCAUAAAUUCAAAGGUCAAUGUUGGAGAGACCACAAUUGUAAGGUAAUUUGCAUGGGUGAAGGUUUUGAAGAAGGCAAAUGUGAAGGUUUACUACGUAAAUGUGUAUGUCUGAAAACUUGUUGAUAUUUUCCUAUGGAUUUAUCAAGCUAUAAUAAACGAUUUGUAUGUUGUUAUUUAUAAAUGAAAUAAAGUUGGCUUCUUCA